UGCGCUUGCGGAUUUUUUUGUUUGCGUUUAAAAUACCCAACAAGCUUUCUGGCGCCGUUGCCAGGGAACGGUAGCUAUGCUAGUUUCAAACCAAGUCGUCCGUGUAUCCUUUUUCUUUUCCUUUUUUUACCACACUCACCUUAUCACUUUCACCAUACCACAUGGAUUUCACUCUAAGCAUUAAUGAGCAUGGAAUUUAUUUCAUAGCCACUCCGUUUACUCCAUGCUCAUAUGCAACAUCUUCACAAUCCAUUGGUCUCUCCAACAUCACCACAUUCGAGAUCUCCAACCCCCUC
rnacentral:lncRNA from 1 species